CGAGUUUGAUCCUAGCUCAGAAUUAACGCUAGAAAUAUACAUUACACAUGCAAAUUAAUGAUAAUAUCAUAGUGUAUAGGUGAGGAUAUAUAAAUUUUUAAUUUUAAAUAGAUUAUAAAUUUUAUUAAAUAAUAAUCUAUAAGCGCAAAAAUAUAUGUACUAUAUUAAAAAUUAAUAUUAUUUAAAAUAAAAUUUAUAUUUGAUUAACUAGUUGGUAAUUUAAAAGACUACCAAGGUUAUUAUCAAAAAUUGGUUUGAAAGAAUGUACAAUCACAUUAGGAUUGAAAUAAAGCCUAAAUUUUUAUAAAAAAUCAGCAGUGAGGAAUAUUUUACAAUAAGUGUAAGCUUGAUAAAGUAAUAUUUCUUUUAGGAAGACAGUAUUAUUAAAAUAUUGUAAACUUUUUAUUUUAUUUUUAAAUAUUGAUAAAAAUAAAAAAUAGUAUUUGCUAAUUUCUGUGCCAGCAGCAGCGGUAAUACAGAAAAUGCAAGCGUUAUUCAUUUUAUUAGGCGUAAAGCGUUUUAAGGUUUUAUAUUAAUUUUAUGUUUAAAUAUUUAAAUUAAAUUUAAAAUAAAUUAAUAAAUAAUAAUAUAAUAGAGUAUUAUAAAAGUAUUAAGAAUUUUUUGAGAAGUAGUGAAAUACAAUGAUACAAAAAAGAAUAUCAAAGGCGAAAGCAUAAUACUAUAUAAUUACUGACACUUAAAAACGAAAGCUAAGGUAGCAAAUAGGAUUAGAUACCCUAGUAGUCUUAGCUGUAAACUAUGAAUAUUUUAUAUUUAUAUUUUAUAAAUAUAAUAACUAACGUGAUAAAUAUUCCGCCUGAGUAGUAUAUUCGCAAGAAUGAAAUUCAAAGGAAUUGACGGGAGCUUAUACAAGUGGUGGAACAUGUGGCUUAAUUCGAUGCAACACGAUAAACCUUACCAAAAUUUAACAAUAUUUUUAAUAUUAAGAAAUUAAUAUUUUAAUAAAAUAUAUAGGUAGUGCAUGGCUGUCGUCAGUUCGUGCUGUGAAGUGUUAAUUUUAGUAUUAUAACGAACGUAACCUUUUAUAAAAAAAAUUUUUAUAAUAAAUAAUAAUAAAGAUUACGUCAAGUCAUUAUGCUCCUUAUAUUUUGGGCUGCUCACGUGUUACAUAAAAUAUUACAAUAUUUUCUUAUAAAAGUAAAUAUAAUAAUUAAAAUAUAUUUAUAGUUCCCCCUCACGAUUGAAACUCAUUU
rnacentral:rRNA from 1 species